UCGUCCCUGCAAAACCCUUUUCAUCUCCUCCUACUCCGUAUCCUUCCACCCCAAUUUCCCCGAUCAAAAUAACCCUAACUCCGCAGGCACCGCCGGAAUUCUCACGAUUUUCACUGAGAUCCGGCAAUUUAACCCCCGUCCGCCGCUCACCUUCGUCGACGCCGUCGAGGAUCAGCACCCGAUCGAGCGUCCGCCGCGAUUUGGCCUCGGUCUAGGGUUCGACUCCGACUCCCUCCGCGACCGCACCAAGGACGUGCUCAGCGUUGUUGUGGCGCUGCUCUUCGGCGUCGGCUGUGGCGCUCUCACCGCCGCAACCAUGUACUUGGGUUGGUCGCUCUUCUCCAACCGCCACCGCUACUCCGACUUCGAUUACGAUGACUUUGAGGAUGAUGACGUUGACAUGAGCCCUAAGAAGGUGGGCUAUGUGAGGAUCCCUCCUCCUGCUGAUGCCUCUACUCCCGUGGCAAAAGAGGCGGUAUGAGGCACAGAAAAAUUAGGGUUUUAAUGCUUAAUGCCUAGUGUUUUGCGUUUCUGAACCAGGUGCUAUUUGCUAUGUUAUUAUGAAUUAUAUUGCUAAAAAUGUGGGUACUUAUAUGGUUUUGUGUUU
rnacentral:lncRNA from 1 species